UUCUCAGGGAAUAUUCCAACUUGAUUGUGGGAAUGACCUAUACCUGGAAAGACUAAUGAAAGACUUAAUUGUACGUUAUUUACCCCAUCUGCCAGUAAAUUCUUCUCCAAUAUUUAAAUGCAUUGAAAAUGAAAAACUUUGCGUCUUUAUUUUUGAAAAAAUUUGUACAGGAUUUCUAUCGCCAAAUUGUAAAUCAAUGGAAACAAGUACCACAAAGGCUUUAAAGAUAAUUAUGGCAUCUCUGCAAAAUUCUCCUACAAACAAAAACGUCAUCAUUAUAAUCCAAAAAACGCUUCCUUCAGUAUUGGAAGUAAUAAUGUUUCAUUCAAAUAAAACAGUUGCAUUGGAAUUAUUGAAAAUGAUAAUCAGUUACAGCAACUUUUCUGGAUUGCAUGACCUUAUAAAAAGCUCAAUAGUAUCACUCGUAGAAAAACAUCUCGCCUUUAAUGUAAAUAACACAUUCCAAUUACUUUCCAUAUUGGUCAAAUUUAUUCCAACUGAUGUUCAAGCAAUUCUUCCCAAUUUAAAAAAACAGGUGACCCUGGUUGAACAAAUGAGAGGUGUAGGCUUCGAUAAUACCCUUAGGAGGAAUCUUGACAAUAUAGAGCAGCUUCUUAGAAAGUAGUUCACUAAAACAAAACUUAUGAACAUUUUAAAAACUGAAAGCCACAGGGCAUUCGCUGUACCAGCCCUCCUUCACUCAAGAAAGUAGCUGUACUUAAAGUCUUAAAGGAAAGUGCCUGUUUUCUUUCAUUUGGAACAGAGACAGCGUGUUGUUUUUAAAGGAAGGAUUUAAGACAACAAACGGAUUGACGAUAAAUUAAGAGUGGAAGAG